rnacentral:misc_RNA from 1 species
GGACCAGGUGAAUCAUCGAAUCUUUGAACGCACAUUGCGCCCGCCAGCAUUCUGGCGGGCAUGCCUGUUCGAGCGUCAUUUCAACCCUCGAGCCCCCCCGGGGGCCUCGGUGUUGGGGGACGGCACACCAGCCGCCCCCGAAAUGCAGUGGCGACCCCGCCGCAGCCUCCCCUGCGUAGUAGCACACACCUCGCACCGGAGCGCGGAGGCGGUCACGCCGUAAAACGCCCAACUUUCUUAGAGUUGACCUCGGAUCAGGUAGGAAUACCCGCUGAACUUAAGCAUAUCAAUAAGCGGAGG